UAGGAAUCUUGGACAAUGGGCGCAAGCCUGAUCCAGCCAUGCCGCGUGAGUGAUGAAGGCCUUAGGGUUGUAAAGCUCUUUCAGCGGGGAAGAUAAUGACGGUACCCGCAGAAGAAGCCCCGGCUAACUUCGUGCCAGCAGCCGCGGUAAUACGAAGGGGGCUAGCGUUGUUCGGAAUCACUGGGCGUAAAGCGCGUGUAGGCGGGUCGUUAAGUCGGGGGUGAAAUCCUGAGGCUCAACCUCAGAACUGCCUUCGAUACUGGCGACCUUAGAGUCCGGGAGAGGUGAGUGGAACUCCUAGUGUAGAGGUGAAAUUCGUAGAUAUUAGGAAGAACACCAGUGGCGAAGGCGGCUCACUGGCCCGGUACUGACGCUGAAACGCGAAAGCGUGGGGAGCAAA
rnacentral:rRNA from 1 species